UACUGGUGCCCUCUUUGUAGAUCUGAUGGCCUCCCACAUAAAAUUGUCGAAGAGGGGACUUCAUGAUGUCUCUGGCUUAUCUCCCUCCAGUGGAUCAGCGCUUCACUUUCUCAUCUCUGGCCGCAGCUGCAAGUGGCGAGACAUCGUUUUGCUACUCUGAGCUCUCCCUAUCCUCUUUGAUGGAACAAUCACAAGACCAGUCAGCGUUGAACUUCGUGCUGUCCCGGAGGAAACCAGAAGCACUAUGCAGAACAAAAGUCGCUAACCACUGAUGAUGUCAGUUUAAUCAACCACACAGACGGAUGGGUGCUCCACAGCAGCUCCCUGGAAAUUCUGAGAAAUUGGGAGGAGAAAUCAUUGUGGGUCGAACAAAAUAUUCGUUGUGAUCUUGAGCAUUUUAAUACUUCUUAUUUUUUUUCAUAAAUAA